rnacentral:rRNA from 1 species
GAUGAACGCUGGCGGCGUGCCUAAUACAUGCAAGUCGAGCGAACAGAUGAGGAGCUUGCUCCUCUGACGUUAGCGGCGGACGGGUGAGUAACACGUGGAUAACCUACCUAUAAGACUGGGAUAACUUCGGGAAACCGGAGCUAAUACCGGAUAAUAUAUUGACCCGUAUGGUUCAAUAGUGAAAGACGGUUUUGCUGUCACUUAUAGAUGGAUCCGCGCCGCAUUAGCUAGUUGGUAAGGUAACGGCUUACCAAGGCAACGAUGCGUAGCCGACCUGAGAGGGUGAUCGGCCACACUGGAACUGAGACACGGUCCAGACUCCUACGGGAGGCAGCAGUAGGGAAUCUUCCGCAAUGGGCGAAAGCCUGACGGAGCAACACCGCGUGAGUGAUGAAGGUCUUCGGAUCGUAAAACUCUGUUAUUAGGGAAGAACAAAUGUGUAAGUAACUAUGCACGUCUUGACGGUACCUAAUCAGAAAGCCACGGCUAACUACGUG